rnacentral:rRNA from 1 species
GAUGAACGCUGGCGGCGUGCCUAAUACAUGCAAGUCGAGCGAACAGACGAGGAGCUUGCUCCUCUGACGUUAGCGGCGGACGGGUGAGUAACACGUGGAUAACCGACCUAUAAGACUGGGAUAACUUCGGGAAACCGGAGCUAAUACCGGAUAAUAUAUUGAACCGCAUGGUUCAAUAGUGAAAGACGGUUUUGCUGUCACUUAUAGAUGGAUCCGCGCCGCAUUAGCUAGUUGGUAAGGUAACGGCUUACCAAGGCAACGAUGCGUAGCCGACCUGAAAGGGUGAUCGGCCACACUGGAACUGAGACACGGUCCAGACUCCUACGGGAGGCAGCAGUAGGGAAUCUUCCGCAAUGGGCGAAAGCCUGACGGAGCAACGCCGCGUGAGUGAUGAAGGUCUUCGGAUCGUAAAACUCUGUUAUUAGGGAAGAAAAAAUGUGUAAGUAACUAUGCACGUCUUGACGGUACCUAAUCAGAAAGCCACGGCUAACUACGUG